rnacentral:rRNA from 1 species
GCCAGCAGCGAUGGCACGUUGAAUGCACCAGUUCUCACUGGUUCAGUGACGUUAAGCAACGUUGCGCGUUUCUUACCCGGAUGGGUGACCAUCUGUAGGCGUGCUGGCU